rnacentral:rRNA from 1 species
GAUGAACGCUAGCGGCAGGCUUAAUACAUGCAAGUCGUGGGGCAGCAUGAAUGUAGCAAUACAUUUGAUGGCGACCGGCAAACGGGUGCGGAACACGUACACAACCUUCCUAUAAGUGGGGAAUAGCCCAGAGAAAUUUGGAUUAAUACCCCGUAACAUAACGAUGUGGCAUCACAUUGUUAUUAUAGCUUCGGCGCUUAUUGAUGGGUGUGCGGCUGAUUAGAUAGUUGGCGGGGUAACGGCCCACCAAGUCUACGAUCAGUAGCUGAUGUGAGAGAAUGAUGAGCAACGCGGGCACUGAGACACGGGCCCGACGCCUACGGGAGGCAGCAGUAAGGAAUAUUGGUCAAUGGACGCAAGUCUGAACCAGCCAUGCCGCGUGAAGGAUUAAGGUCCUCUGGAUUGUAAACUUCUUUUAUCUGGGACGAAAAAAGGCUUUUCUAAGUCACUUGACGGUACCAGAUGAAUAAGCACCGGCUAACUCUGUGCCAGCAGCCGCAGUAAAAC